CACAUCCAAAUUUAAUCUGCAAAUACCACAUUUACCUACACAUUUUGCAAAUACAACCUAUAAAUACUUACUUAUUGCCUACAUAACACUUUUUCUCCGUUUUUGUUUUCUCUCUCUCUCUCUCUCUCUCUCUCUCUCUCUCUCUCUUGCGCAUUCUCUUCCUUUCUCAGCUCUCUUUGUCAGUCGCUCCACGAAACCCACCUCAUCCUCUCAUCUGAAUCACGAAACCCCCCUUAACCCCAUCUUUUAUGUCUCUCUUCAGAAUUGCCUAAGAUCGUAGCUACUUGCAACCUCGAAGCUUAACUCCAUCGCCAACCUCCAAUAGCGUUUCUUCCUCUCACUGAAGCUUAGGUUCCGCACCAACUUUGGCAGGCAGCAUUGUGCAAACUCUGUAUUUUUUCUAGUCCUGGGUUCGGAAUUUGCGUUUGAAAUCGCCACGCUUCUGAAAACUAUAUCUGCUACAGAUUCAUAUGGGGUUUUGUUUGCUGAAUUUUGUGUCCGGUGAAAAAUAGAAGAUUCUGCUUCCGACUCAUAAUGUAAAUCCUGAUGGCCAGCCUCAUCAUUGAAGCUUUCAUGAAACAAUUCAAUCAGUUGCUUUUUCACAUCAGUUGCCGGGGAUUUUAUGGGGCUGCUUUGGUGGAUUGGAGUAUUGGUGCUGGAUGGGGUAAGAUCUGCAACAAAAUGAAAAAUCUAAAGUUCCAGCAUCAUAUUUGUUUAGGACAUUAGAAGAAAUUUGGUGUGACAAAUUUAAGUUGAUAUAUCUUACCACCAUUGACACUGAAGAAAUCUUCACAAUCAGAUUCUAACCUGGGGUCAGAAGAAAAUUGCAUAUCCUCUUUGCCA